UGGCCCAGAUCGUUUACCGUGAAAAAAUUAGAGUGUUCAAAGCAGGCAGAUCCAAUUUUCUGCCACCGAAUACAUUAGCAUGGGAUAAUGGAAUAGGACCCUGUCCUCCUAUUUUCAGUUGGUUUUGGCAGCGCGAGGACUAGGGUAAUGAUUAAUAGGGAUAGUUGGGGGCAUUAAUAUUUAAUUGUCAGAGGUGAAAUUCUUGGAUUUAUGAAAGAUUAACUUCUGCGAAAGCAUCUGCCAAGGAUGUUUUCAUUAAUCAAGAACGAAAGUUAGGGGAUCGAAGACGAUCAGAUACCGUCGUAGUCUUAACCAUAAACGAUGCCGACCAGCGAUUAGGAGACGUUGAAUACAAAACACCACCAUCGGCGCGGUCGUCCUUGGCGUCUCGGUCCUUCACGGGGCCGGGGCGCGGGGGCGGCUUAGCCCGGUGGCACCGGUGAAUGACUCCCCUAGCAGCUUGUGAGA
rnacentral:rRNA from 1 species